rnacentral:rRNA from 1 species
UACACUCCUACGGGAGGCAACAGUGGGGAAUUUUGGACAAUGGGCGAAAGCCUGAUCCAGCAAUGCCGCGUGUGUGAAGAAGGCCUUCGGGUUGUAAAGCACUUUUGUCCGGAAAGAAAUCCUUGGCUCUAAUACAGUCGGGGGAUGACGGUACCGGAAGAAUAAGCACCGGCUAACUACGUGCCAGCAGCCGCGGUAAUACGUAGGGUGCGAGCGUUAAUCGGAAUUACUGGGCGUAAAGCGUGCGCAGGCGGUUUGCUAAGACCGAUGUGAAAUCCCCGGGCUCAACCUGGGAACUGCAUUGGUGACUGGCAGGCUAGAGUAUGGCAGAGGGGGGUAGAAUUCCACGUGUAGCAGUGAAAUGCGUAGAGAUGUGGAGGAAUACCGAUGGCGAAGGCAGCCCCCUGGGCCAAUACUGACGCUCAUGCACGAAAGCGUGGGGAGCAAACAGGAUUAGAAACCCGAGUAGUCCCAUGA